rnacentral:rRNA from 1 species
UGCAAGUCGAACGCUUCUUUUUCCACCGGAGCUUGCUCCACCGGAAAAAGAGGAGUGGCGAACGGGUGAGUAACACGUGGGUAACCUGCCCAUCAGAAGGGGAUAACACUUGGAAACAGGUGCUAAUACCGUAUAACAAUCGAAACCGCAUGGUUUUGAUUUGAAAGGCGCUUUCGGGUGUCGCUGAUGGAUGGACCCGCGGUGCAUUAGCUAGUUGGUGAGGUAACGGCUCACCAAGGCGACGAUGCAUAGCCGACCUGAGAGGGUGAUCGGCCACAUUGGGACUGAGACACGGCCCAAACUCCUACGGGAGGCAGCAGUAGGGAAUCUUCGGCAAUGGACGAAAGUCUGACCGAGCAACGCCGCGUGAGUGAAGAAGGUUUUCGGAUCGUAAAACUCUGUUGUUAGAGAAGAACAAGGAUGAGAGUAACUGUUCAUCCCUUGACGGUAUCUAACCAGAAAGCCACGGCUAACUACGUGCCAGCAGCCGCGGUAAUACGUAGGUGGCAAGCGUUGUCCGGAUUUAUUGGGCGUAAAGCGAGCGCAGGCGGUUUCUUAAGUCUGAUGUGAAAGCCCCCGGCUCAACCGGGGAGGGUCAUUGGAAACUGGGAGACUUGAGUGCAGAAGAGGAGAGUGGAAUUCCAUGUGUAGCGGUGAAAUGCGUAGAUAUAUGGAGGAACACCAGUGGCGAAGGCGGCUCUCUGGUCUGUAACUGACGCUGAGGCUCGAAAGCGUGGGGAGCAAACAGGAUUAGAUACCCUGGUAGUCCACGCCGUAAACGAUGAGUGCUAAGUGUUGGAGGGUUUCCGCCCUUCAGUGCUGCAGCUAACGCAUUAAGCACUCCGCCUGGGGAGUACGACCGCAAGGUUGAAACUCAAAGGAA